UGGCUCAGUUGGUAGAGCAUGGUGUUUGCAGCGCAAGGGUUGUGGGUUCGAUUCCCAC
rnacentral:tRNA from 1 species